UACACAUGCAAGUCGAACGGUGAACCAGAGCUUGCUCUGGGGAUCAGUGGCGAACGGGUGAGUAACACGUGGGCAACCUGCCCCAGACUCUGGGAUAACCUCGGGAAACCGAUGCUAAUACCGGAUACGACCACUUCGGACAUCCGACGGUGGUGGAAAGUUUUUCGGUCUGGGAUGGGCCCGCGGCCUAUCAGCUAGUUGGUGGGGUAAUGGCCUACCAAGGCGACGACGGGUAGCCGGCCUGAGAGGGCGACCGGCCACACUGGAACUGAGACACGGUCCAGACUCCUACGGGAGGCAGCAGUGGGGAAUAUUGCACAAUGGGCGAAAGCCUGAUGCAGCGACGCCGCGUGAGGGACGACGGCCUUCGGGUUGUAAACCUCUUUCAGCAGGGACGAAGCGAAAGUGACUGUACCUGCAGAAGAAGCACCGGCUAACUACGUG
rnacentral:rRNA from 1 species